UGUAAACCAUUGUACAAGUAAAAUUGGGAGACAGUACUAUAUUAUUAUUAACUGAUCUCAAUGUAUCUGCAGGUUAUCUUUCCAGUCUUGAGAAACCUAUCCAUGGAACGCCUGGGCGAGUUGAAAAAGAUAUGGAAUGGCCAACCUUCACCCGCCUCCUUCUCUAAAUUAGAAGAUCUCACUGUCAAGCAUUGUGACAAACUACUGCAUUUGGUUCCGACACAAAUGCAAAAUAGAUUGCAGACAUUAAAGUACAUAGGUGUACAUGGAUGUUCUUCACUGGAAGGGAUUUUUGAAGUGAGCGGAUUGACCGUCAAUGAAAGGAUUGCUUCAGUUUCUCGGACAGACAAAUUACCUUCAAAUAUUUCCCAACCUGAUCAAGGACUGCAAAUAAAUGAUAUCAUGGGUUGGAGACAAUCUUGCCAAGGCUUUCAGAAUUUAACCGAACUGCGUAUUACUUCUUGUGGUAGUUUGAGAUACCUGCUCUCUCCUUCGAUUGCUGGAGGUCUUGUCAAGCUCCAAACACUAGUGAUAGCGAAUUGCCAGAAGAUGGAAGCAAUAGUCGCAGCAGAUGAGGGUGAAGAAACAGAGAAUGAAAGCAUGCUCCCUCGGCUAGAUUGUUUGGAUCUUUUCAAUCUACCAAAUCUUGGAAGCUUUUCGCAAGGCAGAUAUACUUUUGAUUGGCCACUAGUGAAAUGGAUCCGUAUUAUCAAGUGCAACAAAAUGAACAAAUUUUGUUCAGGAUCCCUCCGCAUAUCCAGGGCAGUGAACAUAACUGUCCGAUCUUCUGGUAAGAGUGUAGAGCGUGAGCUCAAGGAUAGCAGGAAAACAGGCUGACCAGGUAUGCAAUUUCAAUUGUGAUUUCUGACUGCUGUAGAGUGCAAUCAUAUGUGUUUUGACUUAGCAUCAGAAUAAAUGUGUAAUCUGUGCAAAUAUGUUUCAAUGUGGAUCGAAUUUUGAAGAUUAAUUUGGGCGUGGUGAAUAUCUGCUUGUGCAGAGUAGCUUGGUACAGGUUGGUUGGGAUGUUGCUUAUGUCUACCGCAUUUUCUGCUCAAGCCGACUUCAACCUGUGGAGCAGUGGCGACACAGUUCUAUCUAGUUAUGUGAUAAAUAGAAAAAAAAAAAAAAAUAUAGUUGGUUUACUGUGUAGUUUGAAUCCUUGUAAUUUGGGUGAAAGAGGAGUUAUAUUUGUUGUGUGAUGAUUUGGUAAAAAGAAAAAAGAAAAAAAUAGGGAGGUUAUUUGUUGUUUGUGAUACUUUUAUUUAGGUGUGUGAUUUGAAAUUCUCUUUCUUUUCUAAAAUUUAUGAUGAACAAUAUGUAGGUGUACUGUAGUGACAUUACUGUAAACUUUAUCUGCCCCAUUUGCCAACCCUCCAUCGCAAAAAUUGACAAAAGCAAAUCCUUCCCCCAUGGCGGGCUACUCCAUAUCAUAGAAGACCUCCCAUCUGCCAAUUUGACUCUAUAUAUCCGUUUCCCCAUAAACCAAAUUCCAAGACACCCAAAACCUCAAUGGACCCAAAGUCAUCUCCUCCCAAUUCCAACACCACCGUUCCGGUGACCCAGGCACUGUGGGAAGCGAGGUCCCACAUGUUCGAGAGGCUCUUGGACCCACCAGUCGACGCUCCUCCGCAGAGCGAAUUGCUGAACAGGACUCCAUCACAGAGCAGGACUACAAUUUCUCUAGUGAUUAUAUACUGAGGGAGCAGUAUAAGGAUCCUUGGAAUGAGGUCAGAAUUGGGAAGCUGCUUGAAGACCUUGAUGCUUUAGCUGGUACCAUUUCUGUCAAGGCAACACUUUUCAGUCUUUCUGUGUUUUGUUGGAGUCUUAAUUUCUGUGUUUGGAUAUAUGGGUUUUGCUUCAAAUGUGGUAACUUGAACUGGAAUGUGAUCGGUUGUGGAUUCAUAUCAUAUCAAAUGUGUUUUUCUCUGAUUCCAUUAUACCAGUGCAUUUAUCGAAAAGAUAGUUAGGCUGAAUUGCACUUUGAAUCAAUAAGCCUGAGCUUUCGAACAUUCAACAAUUGUAGCCUUGGAGAUAAUAAAGAGACUUGAGAAUGAUGAGAUGAGUUUCUAGCUUACUGUUUGCAUGUGUNNNNNNNNNNNNNNNNNNNNUNUUUUUUUUUUUUUUUUUUUCUGGUAAUCACCUUGAAUUUAUGAUAUGUUUUUUUAUCAUGGAUUAGCACUGCUAUGCUGUUGAUACCACAACAAGGCCGCUCUUACUGGUCACUGCAUCUGUUGACAAAAUUGUCCUGAAGAAGCCAAUUAGUGUUGACAUUGACCUGGAAAUUGUUGGUGCUGUCAUUUGGGUGGGGCGGUCAUCUAUUGAGAUCCAACUAGAAGUUACUCAAUCCACAAAAGGUACUCUUAACUCUGUGGUACCUUUAGUUUUGAGAGAUUGAUCAUCUUUCAUGUUGAUAAAACUUUUUUCCCCAGCAUCAUCCUCUAUUAAGUGAAUGUUUUGUCUAUAUUUUUUGUGUGUGAGACAUUUAUCAAUUGAUAUGUGAUGAGAAACAGACUGAUGUACCCAGGUACUAAAUUGUCAUUUUGAUGUAUCAAAUUAUGAGAUUUGGUGUUUACUUCUAACUUCUAAGUUAAGUUUAAAGAAAUGUAACUAUAUAUUUUGAAAGAAGCCACCACCAUAUCUCUCUGCCUCCACACGUGUUAGUUGUGUUCCCUUUAAUCUCUCUAGUUUGAUAUCUCAAUGUUUUGUAUGAUCUGAGUUCUGUUUGGUUGUAAUCUAUGUGGUUGUUCUUGUUGUAUGGGUUGUUUUUUUUUGUUGAGAAUUUAUGUGGUUAAUUUUGAGGUUAUGGCAUAUUGGCAUUAUCAAUCUUGUGUCUUCGGACAGCCGGUGAUGAUGUUUUUGUUCGUGGGGCAUGUUGUUUGUUAAUGUUUGCUGAUUAUAUGAGUGGUGAAUUCGGGACCAGUUUGCAGGAAAUGCAUACUCGAGAAGCUGUCGGACAAGGAGGGAGAUUGUUCUCCAGUAUGCGAAAUCGAUUUGGGAUGUAUGGCGGUCAAAAAACUUAGGUAAUUGUCGGUUUCAUUUGCUUGUAUGUUCGCGUAUUGAGUCGACUGCUUUAGUGGUGAGUGCCUUGAGUUUAUUUGGUAAAAUUGGACCGUUUAAUAGGGAUAUGCACUUGGAUUGUUUGAUAAGGCAACUAUAAGAAUUUUUGUCAAAGAAGGACACUUCUAGCUUAUUACAUUAUGCACCGUUGGGAGCUAAUGACCAUAUAUGUUACUUGAAAUGUAUCAUGUAAUUUAAGCCACUGGACCUAUCAGAAGAAUAUAAACGAAUUGUUGCUGGUUAUUUAAUAUCUUCAUUAAGACUGCUUUCGGAAAAGAUGUAACUGGCAAGGAUUGUAAGAAAAACGCAUGAUACAACAUCCAAGUAUGAUUUUGUGUAAAAGUCGAUCCUUUGUCAACUAUCGUUAUAUUUUUUUUAAUAUUCAAGACUGAGAUAAAGGUGGGCUUUAUUUGAUCUGAUUAUAGUUCUCUUCUUGCUCACAAUCGUAUGUUUUUAUCGUCGUAAUGUAUGCUGGAGCGUACAUGAAAACGUUCUUACACAUGCUUGGGAUGCCAAUUAAUUUAAUUUGCAGGCCGGACCAUAAUUUGCAAGAUAUCAGGGCCAAGAUAUUUCCUCUUAAAAGACGUAAAAUUAAUGCACCCGAAUCACCUUCAGUUUCAUUCCCGGUGAAAAGGAAGGAGAGCUCAUUAUCAUCAUUAGUAGUCAGCACCCGCAAAGUUCCAGUGCAGGCAGGCUUGACUGGAAAGAGACCAAGAGCCUAUCUGAGUUCUCUAGCAACUUAUUUAAGUUCUAGGAAGUCAGGUCUUUCUCCUAAGGAAACCCUGGUCUAAACUCUUAAUUAAAUUGCUUAAAUUUAGAAAAUUAGUAAUUUACCCAGGCCUUUACAGAAUGCACAUAAGAAUGGAUUGACGAGAUGUUGACACAGUUUAUAGAAGUCAAACAUGAACCAGACAUCUGACCUGUAAGUGAUGAUGAAUGGUGGUGAUGCAUGGCUCUUGAUAACACCAUCAGUGGUGAACAACAGUUGGAUCACCCAACAAGGGAGCAAUGAUGGAACACCAUCAGUGGUGAACAACAGUUGGAUCACCCAACAAGGGAGCAAUGAUGGAACAAUAUUGCUGUUAAGAUCAAACUAGGAAAUCACAAAACUUCCAUAAAAGUAUAAUAUUUGCAAUCCGGUUUAUUUAUUCAACAGUUGACUUAUUUAGAUGUUGCAUGCUUAUUCAAUUGAUGCAGGAUUCUUCCAUGCCUGAGAAUUCCUAUGAGCAGAAGCCUAAGAAAGAUGAUGUUGAAGUAAUGGAAGGCAAAGCUGAUCUGUGGACACCCUUAAACUGUCUUGUAGAGGCUGCUAACCGAACCAAGUCCUCUAAGUUAAAUCCCCAAGGGCAGUUGCCUGCCAAAUCAGAGCCACUCAAUGCCCUUGAUAGUAUUUCUGAACUUUAUAUGCCUGAAAGUAACACAGACAUAGAAUUGCCAGAUGCUCUAGAAAGUCAUUUACAUGUCCCUAAGGUCAAAAUCAAGGAGCCUGAGAACAGUACUAGAGGAAAAAAGAACAUUAAUGCGGCAGCAGUCACAGGAUCCAUGAAACGGAAGAGGUUUCAUGCAGGUAAUCGUAAUAGGGGAGCUCCAUCGGGGGAGUCAGGUGAUUCAACUCAAGAUGUACGUGGGGCUAAGCAUAGCAGAAGAAAUAAUCCUAUUUGGUUCUUGUUGGUUGCAGCUGAAAACUGGUGAGACAGCCCUGCGAUUAUAAAGCUUGCAUAGUUAUGUGGUUUAUAUAUGAAAAGCUUAAUUUCUUUUAUCAUGUUGAUUUAUUGUUUUUAUGGUAAAUGUCUCUAGGAAAGGAGAGGCCUCCUUGCCCCAGAUAUCAUCAUGUUACCUGAGAAUAAAGUGAGCUUUCUAUAGUCCUGUUUCUUUCUUUGAAGUGCUGCAACUUCAUAACAAUGCAUUGCCUUAUCUUAGUCAUUUUGUCAUCUGAUGUAUGGGACAAACAGAACCAGUUUGGUAAAUUUUACUGUAAGAAUAUCAUGGGGGUCAAUAGUAAUGAUUUUAAUUCCUAAUAGGCCAUAUCACAAAUUCUGUAAAAGUUUAACCUUUGCUUAUUUUCUUUUUUCCAGCUAAACUUGGUACAUGAUUUGGGUCUACCAUUAUUGGUUAAGAAUAUGCUACACCAGAAAUGUAAACAGAUUAUUACCUAGUCAACUGCACAUCCUAAGUAUAGUGUUCAGCACCUCAGCUACCAUGUUAACCACGAAUAUUGCCUAAUUGUGAUGAUAUCAACGUGUGCAUUUUGAUGAAUUGUGAAGUGAUAGCUUUUAGUGCGACUUUCUUGGGGCUUAGUGGUAAUUACUUUUCUUUCUUCCCCAGGGAUGGUAAAAUGCCUGUAACAUUUAUUCAGAUGUACCUUGUGAUGAAGAAACUUGAACUUACCAGUAAAGCUGAGGUGAGUAUUUUUUUGUUACCUUCAAACAAUAAAAAUAGUAGUUUCUAUGGGCUUGACCGUAAAAUAACACUGAAAUAUAAAGGAGAGAAAAGAAGACAUGGUAGUUUUCCACUUUGGGUGGAGCUAUUAUCUGAAAAAAAAAAAAUAAUGACGUUGUUGUAAAUAAAUUGUAAAUGAAGGCAAAACUGUCUAUUUACGCACCGAAUAAACAGUGCUACUACGAUUUUGUUUUAAUAUAUAUAAAAAGAUGUGUUUUCUUCCCGUGAUGACAAGGAGGAANNNNNNNNNNNNNNNNNNNNAAACUUUCUCAUUGUCACUGAUCCUCUAUUGACUCUUAUUACCGAAUACCCCUCCUAUUGUCCAAUGGACCAUCUAUUUCCCAACAUACCCCGUAUUGAUUAUCUAUACCUAAGGUUAUAUCUUCCGUUUUUUCUUUUUUUCUAACUUUGGAUGAAGAAAGUGAUUUGAAUGAACAUAUAUAAAGGAUUAAUUGAAUUCUUAAAGUAGUUCAAAUGAUAGUGGUUUUGUCAUUGUAGUGAUUUACCUUAUUUCUAAGUCUUUUUUUUUUUUUUUCCUUUCUAAAUAAGAGAGCAAAAUCUAUUAAAACUAGAAACACCAUGGGAAACCAAUGUUUACAGCAUGCAUUACCUUAUUUCUAAGUUGGAGUUUAGUUUUCCAUUUUCUUUUUCAAUUUAAUCUCAAAAUAAUUGAGUAAAUUGAGGAUCUUCGGGCAAGGUUACUGUGUAUUGUUUUUAAAAUAAAAAAUUUCUUAAAUAUAUGUAUUGUUGUUAGUUUGUUACCGUAAACCAUUGUACAAGUAAAAUUGGGAGACAGUACUAUAUUAUUAUUAACUGAUCUCAAUGUAUCUGCAGGUUAUCUUUCCAGUAUUGAGAAUCCUAUCCAUUGAACGCCUGGGCGAGUUGAAAAAGAUAUGGAAUGGCCAACUUUCACCCACCUCCUUCUCUAAAUUAGAAAGACUCACUGUCUCGGGAUGUGACAAACUACUGCAUUUGGUACCGACACAAAUGCAAAAUAGAUUGCAGACAUUGGAGUCCAUACGAGUAGAGGAAUGUUCUUCACUGGAAGGGAUUUUUGAAGUGAGCAGAUUGACCGUCAAUGAAAGGAAUGCUUCAGUUUCUCGGUCAGACAAAUUACCUUCAAAUAUUUCCCAACCUGAUCAAGGAAUGCAAAUAAACGAUAUCAUGGGUUGCAGACAAUCUUGCCAAGGCUUUCAGAAUUUAACUGGACUGGAUAUUACAUCUUGUGGUAGGUUGAGAUACCUGCUCUCUCCUUCGAUUGCUAGAGGUCUUGUCAAGCUCCAAAUACUAGAGAUAAAGGAUUGCCAGAAGAUGGAAGCAAUAGUCACAGCAGAUGAAGGUGAAGAAACUGAGAAUGAAAGCAUGCUCCCUCGGCUAAAUUUUUUGGAUCUUCGGAAUCUACCAAAUCUUGGAAGCUUUUCGCAAGGCAGAUAUACUUUUGAUUGGCCACUAGUGAAAUGGAUCCGUAUUAUCAAGUGCAACAAAAUGAACAAAUUUUGUUCAGGAUCCCUCCGCAUAUCCAGGGCAGUGGACAUAACUGUCCGAUCUUCUGGUAAGAGUGUAGAGCGUGAGCUCAAGGAUAGCAGGAAAACAGGCUGACCAGGUAUGCAAUUUCAAUUGUGAUUUCUGACUGCUGUAGAGUGCAAUCAUAUGUGUUUUGACUUAGCAUCAGAAUAAAUGUGUAAUCUGUGCAAAUAUGUUUCAAUGUGGAUCGAAUUUUGAAGAUUAANNNNNNNNNNNNNNNNNNNNCUAACUUCUAAGUUAAGUUUUAAAGAAAUGUAACUAUAUAUUUUGAAAGAAGCCACCACCAUAUCUCUCUGCCUCCACACGUGUUAGUUGUGUUCGAUAAGGCAACCAUAAGAAUUUUUGUCAAAGAAGGACACUUCUAGCUUAUUACAUUGUGCACCGUUGGGAGCUAAUGACCAUAUAUGUUACUUGAAAUGUAUCAUGUAAUUUAAGCCACUGGACCUAUCAGAAGAAUAUAAACGAAUUGUUGCUGGUUAUUUAAUAUCUUCAUUAAGACUGCUUUCGGAAAAGAAGUAACUGGCAAGGAUUGUAAGAAAAACGCAUGAUACAACAUCCAAGUAUGAUUUUGUGUAAAAGUCGAUCCUUUGUCAACUAUCGUUGUAUUUUUUUUAAUAUUCAAGACUGAGAUAAAGGUGGGCUUUAUUUGAUCUGAUUAUAGUUCUCUUCUUGCUCACAAUCGUAUGUUUUUAUUGUCGUAAUGUAUGCUGAAGCUUACAUGAAAACGUUCUUACACAUGCUUGGGAUGCCAAUUAAUUUAAUCUGCAGGCCGGACCAUAAUUUGCAAGAUAUCAGGGCCAAGAUAUUUCCUCUUAAAAGACGUAAAAUUAAUGCACCCGAAUCACCUUCAGUUUCAUUACCGGUGAAAAGGAAGGAGAGGUCAUUAUCAUCAUUAGUAGUCAGCACCCGCAAAGUUCCAGUGCAGGCAGGCUUGACUGGAAAGAGACCAAGAGCCUAUCUGAGUUCUCUAGCAACUUAUUUAAGUUCUAGGAAGUCAGGUCUUUCUCCUAAGGAAACCCUGGUCUAAACUCUUAAUUAAAUUGCUUAAAUUUAGAAAGAAUGCACAUAAGAAUGGAUUGACGAGAUGUUGACACAGUUUAUAGAAGUCAAACAUGAACCAGACAUCUGACCUGUAAGUGAUGAUGAAUGGUGGUGAUGCAUUGCUCAUGAUAACACCAUCAGUGGUGAACAACAGUUGGAUCACCCAACAAGGGAGCAAUGAUGGAAUAAUAUUGCUGUUAAGAACAAACUAGGAAAUCACAAAACUUCCAUAAAAGUAUAAUAUUUACAAUCCGGUUUAUUUAUUCAACAGUUGACUUAUUUAGAUGUUGCAUGCUUAUUCAAUUGAUGCAGGAUUCUUCCAUGCCUGAGAAUUCCCAUGAGCAGAAGCCUAAGAAAGAUGAUGUUGAAGUAAUGGAAGGCAAAGCUGAUCUGUGGACACCCUUAAACUGUCUUGUAGAGGCUGCUAACCGAACCAAGUCCUCUAAGUUAAAUCCACAAGGGCAGUUGCCUCUCAAUGCCCUUGAUAGUAUUUCUGAACUUUAUAUGCCUGAAAAUAACAGAGACAUAGAAUCGCCAGAUGCUCUAGAAAGUCAUGUACAUGUGUCUAAGGUGAAAAUCAAGGAGCCCGAGAACAGUACUAGAGGAAAAAAGAACAUUAAUGCGGCAGCAGUCACAGGAUCCAUGAAACGGAAGAGGUUUCAUGCAGGUAAUCGUAAUAGGGGAGCUCCAUCUGGGGAGUCAGGUGAUUCAACUCAAGAUGUACGUGGGGCUAAGCAUAGCAGAAGAAAUAAUCCUAUUUGGUUCUUGUUGGUUGCAGCUGAAAACUGGUGAGACAGCCCUGCGAUUAUAAAGCUUGCAUAGUUAUGUGGUUCAUAAUGGUGAAAAGCUUAAUUUCUUUUAUCAUGUUGAUUUAUUGUUUUUAUGGUAAAUGUCUUUAGGAAAAGAGAGGCCUCCUUGCCCCAGAUAUCAUCAUGUUACCUGAGAAUAAAGUGAGCUUUCUAUAGUCCUGUUUCUUUCUUUGAAGUGCUGCAACUUCAUAACAAUGCAUUGCCUUAUCUUAGUCAUUUUGUCAUCCGAUGUAUGGGACAAACAGAACCAAAAUUUGGCCAACUUCGCAUUUUCAUUUUGGGCUUAAUGUCAUGUACAUAAGAACAAGUUUGGUAAAUUUUACUGUAAGAAUAUCAUGGAGGUCAAUAGUAAUGAUUUGAAUUCCUAAUAGGCCGUAUCACAAAUUCUGUAAAAGUUUGACCUUUGCUUAUUUUCUUUUUUCCAGCUAAACUUGGUACAUGAUUUGGGUCUACCAUUAUUGGUUAAGAAUAUGCUACACCAGAAAUGUAAACAGAUUAUUACCUAGUCAACUGCACAGCCUAAGUAUAGUGUUCGGCACCUCAGCUACCAUGUUAACCACAUAUAUUGCCUAAUUGUGAUGAUAUCAACGUGUGCGUUUUGAUGAAUUGUGAAGUGAUAGCUUUUAGUGUGACUUACUUGGGGCUUAGUGGUAAUUACUUUUCUUUCUUCCACAGGGAUGUUAAAAUGCCUGUAACAUUUAUUCAGAAGUACCUUGUGAAGAAACUUGAACUUACCAGUGAAGCUGAGGUGAGUAUUUUUUUGUUACCUUCAAACAAUAAAAAUAGUAGUUUUUAUGGGCUUGACCGUAAAAUGACACUGAAAUAUAAAGGAGAGAAAAAAGGACGUGGUAGUUUUCCACUCUUGGUGGAGCAGUUAUCUAAAAAAAUAGGAGUAAACAAAUUCAUAAGCUUAUGUUAGGUGGAACACUUUAUAUAUACUUCUUCUAUUAUUUUGAUCCCCUAAGAGGUUAGUAUUUAAAAAGUCGAUCACCAUAGUUACAUCUAUACAAAAUGAAAGACCAAUAAACCUUAAUGCUACCAUCUUUUUCUUAAUUGCUCUGACUCAAAUGUUUGGUUGGUUCAGAUGUAAUCACAUAGCAAAUGAUGGUUAGCAGAAGUUAGAUCAAUAAAUACACAAUUGCCAUUGAGAUAGAGCAAUUUUUUUUUUUCUAGAAAAAAAGAAAAUGAUGACAUUGUUGUAAAUUUAACUAUAUACUAUGCAGCCUGGCGCCGCCUUACUGUUCUUCAGAACAGUGCAGUCUCAGGGCGGGCUUGGGCUGCAUCUCGCAUGGGUCUGGUGUUGGGCCAAGGUGUUGGGGCUGUCCUGGCUGUUGCAAUGUCUAAUUUGCUCUCCACUUCUGUCUUUUCUCUCGCUUCCAGAGCGUUCCUGAGCCUUCCGUUUUAAUCUCUCUCUGUUUUUUUCAUGUUUCAGACUCUCAGUGCCUUCCUCUUACUCUGCAACGCUUUUGUUCUCUAACGCGGUGAUCUGGGUUUAUUCCUUCUUCGUGUCAGAAAAGGUCAACGCCUUUCUCUCAGUCUGCAACACUUCAUUCUCUAUGACAACGAUCUGGGUUUCUUCUUCAAGCGAGCUGGGUUGUGAUCUCUUUAUUGAAGAGCUGAAUAGUUUGGGUAAUUUUCUUUUAUCUUAAUCUUCAAAUUGAUUUCUCGAUUGUGGCUUCUAUGUUUGUUUUGGAUAGGUUGUCGUUACCAAUUGGUCUUCAAUUUCUCUCUUCCUCCAUCAUUACCAACUGGGCUCUCCUUAUCAUUCUCCUUAUUGUUGGUUUGGUUCUCUUACAUCGUUGGUUUGUUUUCGACAAGAAUAUAUCUGAGUAUGAUUUCGUGUUGAGUUUUAGAUCUGGGAGACAAAGCUCAAGGUUUCUGGACAUGAUGAUCUUCUUCGAGGUAUCAACUUGACUUUAUCAAAAUAUUUCUUCAAAAUCAAGUGCCCAAAACUUUUUUGUGAUUGAUUCUCUCUGUUUUGUGUUGAUUUGUUUGGAUUUUGGUAAAGGUGGGCGAUUGAAGUGAACUAGCUCCGGGGACUGUAUGCCAAUGGACAAUGAUCUUCUUUUGUUCUUAGUGGGGUUUGCAAAUUUCGUUAUUGGGUUAUCCUGGUGAUAAUUGCUGCAUAGCAGAAAAAUUCGAACAUGGUUUCUUUGUUUGUACGCAUUCAUGUAUUGUUUGUUGUUCAUUGAUUCCCCUAAAUGCAUGUUGUGAAAUCGCAAAAUAGUCACUCCAACAACUUGAAAAUAAAAUAUGAAAUUUACUUUAAACAUUUUAGUGUUAAUCUUUUAUUUAUUUAUUAUUAUUUGCUUUGUUUUAGUGUUAAUCUUUACAGUCAUUUCAUUGCUAAGAUGUCCAGAUGUUGGUCUUCGCAUUGGUCUUCCCCAAGUGUACUACAUAUUUUCAUCAUGAAAGCUGGAAGUAACAAAGGCAUACAGACCUAGCUAGAUCCUUCAUCUUGAAUCAGUAUUAUGUGUUGCACGUAACAUUAACACCCAAGCGAUGUUCAAACUCUUUCAACAAUGUAUGUUCGGGGGAAAAAUUGAUUAAUAUAGGAACAAUGCAUGCCAUAUUCACAUGUGGCCUGUGAAUCAGUGCAUAUAUAUACUAACUAAUAUAUUUCAUGUAUUGAUUGCAUGUGAGGAGAGAAACCUUGGGCUGUAAAUGUUAGGAUCAUAUGUUGAGCAAAGAGCUUAGCUCCCCAAGUUUCAUUGAUUUUACUGUAACUGGAAGAUUUCCUCUGUGUCAAUGAAAUCAAUGAAACUGUAUCAUUUUGAAAUUGAAAGCAAGCCAUUUGAACUCUCCUGGAAGCCUUGAUAUCUAAAUUCAUUUUGAUUGACAAAUAAAAUGAACAAGUAGUAUAGAACUCUCUUGGGAACCUAUUGUUACAAUGUUGUUGACCACUUUGCAGCUCUAAAACUGUAAGUAGCAUAGAAUUGAAGUAGCAUAUUGACACUUCCAACUCUUAGGUUCUCUCCAUUGUUGAUACUGGUGAAGUUCCAAUAUUUGGAUGCUUUGCUAUUUCUGUCUUUACAGGGACACCGACUCAGUUGCGAACCGUGAAUGUGAUUUAAACCAGCAUAACUUAUGUAGCGCAUCUUUUGAUCAAGCAUGACCAUUUUGUACCAUGUAUAUAACUUCCAAAUUUGGCGAACACUAGAUUUUGGGACAAGUCAGACAAUGUAUAUUAUACAAUAUGUGUUAUUUUCCUUACAAUGCCGUUUUGAACUUCAAAGAUCUAAUAUUUCUCUAAUUUCAUAAGAUUUAACAAUGUAGAUGAUAUAUCAACCAAUUGACUGUUCUCUACAAUUGUUGUUCAAGAUAGUGUACAUUAGUCAACAAAAAAGGUAGUAUAGAAUAUGUUUACAUGGUUUAACUAACCCUGUAAAUGAUCCUCAAAUGUAGACCAACCCACUAACUAUGUAAAUCAUCCUAAAACAAAUGUCGCAUUUUAACGUUGAUUACCCGCAGCAACGCGCGGGUUGCUGGCUAGUAAAACCGUCUAUUUACGCACUGAAUAAACAGUGCUACUACGAUUUUGUUUUAAUAUAUAUAAAAAGAUGUGUUUUCUUCCCGUGAUGACAAGGAGGAAUUUUUGCGUGAGGGCUGUACCCUGCGACCACCCCAAUCACGUAUACCUUUUUUUUUUGGAUGAUAAGGAGGAAUUUUUGCGUGGUGCUCUUUUCAGCAAUGAUGACGUGUAAAAAGACAUACGUGGUGGCUUCUGAUUGGGUAGUCGCAGGGUACAUGUGGUGUGUUUGCCCCACGCAAGAAUUCCUCGAUGAUAAGGUAUCUUUAAAGCUUUAGUUGAGUGGUGAAGGGCAAAGAGUAGACUGGGGAUCAUAAGAGUCAAGGUCAGCACUCCAGUUUUGCUGCAUUUCUCUUCUUCGAUCAACAACUAUUCAAAGGAAAAAGGAACGCGUUAGCUGCCCAGCCUGCCCUUUGCAAUCGAGUUCCACGCAAUUCUGUCUUUCUUUUGUCAUAAACUCGCAAUAUUUUGCUGAAGCUCACUUAGAUUUGUUUCUUUUGCUGUCCUCCUNNNNNNNNNNNNNNNNNNNNUCUGUGGAAUACUUGAUUUGGAUGCAAUUGGAAUUCCUCAUCUUGAUAUCAUGGAAAGCUGCAAGAUCGUGUUGAUUUCAGAACUACAAGAUGUGUUUGGUGAAAUGGAGACUCAGAGCAAUUUCAGAUUGAUAUUACAUUCCACUCCCAGAGCAAGACCUGUUGAGUUUGAGUCAAGAAUUUCAGUCAUCAGAGAUGUAAUGGAUGCACUGACAGAUGAUGAAUCCAAUCCCAUUGUAAUAUGUGGGAUGGGGGGUAUCGGGAAAACAACUUUGGUGAAGGAGAUUGGUGCAAAAGCAGGUGAAGUACAACUAUUUGAUGAAAUUGCAGUUGCAGAGUUCACCCAAGAACCUGAUCUGUUCAAAAUUCAAGGUCAAAUUGCUAAAGCUCUAGGCCUGCAACUUACCGGAGAGGACAACAGAGCAGCCAAGUUACGUGAAAGAUUAUCACAGGGUAACAAAAAUGUCCUUUUAAUAUUGGACAAUGUCUGGACACAGCUAGAUUUGUGGGAAAUAGGGAUUCCAAUUUCCCGUGAUCAAAAAUGUUGUAAACUUCUGGUAACAUCACGGGACCGAGAUAUUUUCAAAGAGAUGAAAACCAGAAAACCUUUCCACAUUGGUGGUUUGCCAAAACCUGAUGCCUGGAGUUUGUUUAAGAAGGUGGCAGGAGAUUCCAUUGAAUCCGAUCUCGAGCUGCGUCCAAUAGCAGAACAAGUUCUUGCUGAAUGUGGUGGUUUACCCGUUGCAAUUUCUACAGUUGGAAGGGCACUACAAGGUGAAAGUAUUUCAAGCUGGAGAAAUGCACUGACAGAACUAGGGGAUGCUUGUCCCGAAAACGUGCCUGGAGUGAUAGAGCAUGUGUAUGGAAAAAUUAAGUUCAGCUACGAAUGUCUACCAAGCGAGCAAGCCAAGUCAUGUUUUCUGCUAUGUUGUCUAUUUCCAGAAAGUGAAGAUUUUCCUAUUGAAGCGUUGGUUAAUAUUGCUAUUGGGCUUGGGCUUUUGAAACGCAUUGAUUCAAUAUCUCAACGAAGGUUUCGUGUAGAAACAUUGGUUGGCAUACUCAAAAGUCGUUCCUUAUUGUUAGACGGGGAUGUGGAAGAGUGUGUCAGAAUGCAUGAUGUGGUGCGUGAUGUAGCCGUGUAUAUAGCCUCCGAAGAGUUUGCACAAAAGAAGAAUGAUGAGCCUGCAAAGAGAAUCAUGUUAAGACAUGGACCGGAAGUGAACAAGAAUAAUUUUGUCGAUGAAUCUGGAUCUAAGGAAUCUGCAUAUUGUCGUUCACUGACAGCCUGUACAAGUUCUACUGAACUUUUACUAAUAAUAGGGGUCAAAGAUCGGUUGAAGCUGUGGGCCACAAUUUUCGAUGGAAUGGAAGACCUUAAGGUUUUAUUGAUCUGGCAUUCAAUCCUCCCAUCCCUUCCACUUUUGAAAAAUAUUCAAACACUUGUUCUAGCGGAGUGCCAUCUCAAUUUUAAUGUUGAUGUGAUUGGAGAGCUACAGACACUCAUGAUACUCGAUUUAAGUGAUUCUGACAUCAAGCAGUUGCCUGAUACAUUCAAAAAUUUAUCCAAUCUCAGAGUGUUACAUUUAUCGGGAUGUCGGAAGCUGAAAGUAAUCUCACCCGGUGUUAUAUCGAGUUUAUCUCGACUAGAAGAAUUGUACAUGUUGUAUAGCUUUCAAGAUUGGGCGGUUGAGAAACUGGGCUCAGCAGAAUCAACCAAUUGGAUCUCUCAAUUGGAGGACGAGGAUGCCGAACCAGAACAAGUCGACAGGUGGAAGAGACUCAACAGAUUGGCGGUUGAGAAACCAGCCUCAACAGAAACAACAACUGAUCGGGUGUCUCAACUGGAGGAUGACGAAAGCAGCAAACAAGAGGAAGUCAACAAGCUGUUCCGAGACUUUGUUGAUGAUGUUUAUAAGGCAGAAGGAAACUACGACCAGGUCACAAGGUGGGCCAAGUCUAUGGACUGGAGAGUCGGGUUACUUUCAGAGCUGCUCUCCUUGUCCCGUUUGACUACUUUGGAAGUGUUUUUACCACCUAUUAAGAUUGUGUGGACCAGUAAGCUGUUUGAUAAUCUUGACAGAUUUAAGAUCUCUAUAGGAUGGAAGCAUUAUGGUUUCUUUGACUUGAGUGUUGAGGAUCUAGAUGUUGCGGGUACUGAAAUCAGCUUGUUGUUAAAGAAAACCAAGAGCCUCCGGUUAAAGACGAAGAAUUUGAAAGAUCCUCUCAAUGUGUUGGAUGUAAACUGUGGUGCAACCUUGAAGUCACUUACCCUUGAUGACUGUGAUUCUCUAGAAUAUCUGAUUGACACGACACUUGAGAAACAUACUCCACCAAGUGUCUUCCCUGUCUUGGAUGAUUUGACAAUCAACGGAGCAAAGAGGCUGAAAGAGAUUUUUCAUGGUGACCUGCCACCAGGCUCGCUUCAGAAACUAAGUAGGCUAAGAAUAGAGGAUUGCCAGUCCGUAGAAGCAAUUUUUGACUUGGAAGGAUCUGAACAUCAUGUCAAAGAGAUCAACUUCCUUAGUUUGACAGAGUUGGUACUCGAAGGUCUACCAUGCUUCACCGGGAUCAGCAAAAGUAGGCUGAAUAGGCAACUGGAAGUCAGCAGUCUCUACCGGGAUAGUUUGACUGAUGAGCAGUCACUUUUCUCCGACCCCAAGGUAUCUGUUCCUUUUCUGAAAUAGUUUUCUUUUUACAUGGUCACUGUCACAUCCCAUGUUUACAAGUAAAUUUUCAUCUUCCACUUUUUCAAAUUACCAAUUAUGAUUUGACUAUCCGUUGCUAAGGUCAUGUCAUCCUUUUUUUUUUGUUUUGUUUUUUCUUCGGUACUUCAUAUGAAGAUGGAGAUUUGAAUGGUGACCAACAUAUAUAAAUCCAAUGUUUGCAGUGUAGUGUUUGCAUUUUUCUUUUCAAUUUUGAGUCUCGGAAUACUAAGGAAUUCUUUUCCGUUCUAGUUUUAGGGAUUUUUUUUACACUGUAACCAAAGACUUUCUCAUUGUUCUUUACAUAUUUCUAAUUUUAUAUGAUAGUACCUAUGUUUUUUUGUCGUUUUUGGUUCUAAUAUUUUUUUUGCAGACUGAACUACCCGACACAUUUUCAGAUCUUAAAGAUACAAUUCUGUUUUUGCGUAUUCUAUUUCAAAAUUUAUUAUUGAAAAUCAUUCUUAAAAAUGUUACUGGAUAAGGCCUAAAAUUCUCAUUAACCUUAAAGAUUAUAAAAAUAUAUUUUCAACCAACCCAACCAAUCAAACAUUCUCUAUUUUUUUAUUGAUUAUUUAUUUUUGAACUCUUUCACUGCUUACCCAAAUCCGGUCACUGACCCUCUAUUGACUCUUAUUGCCGAAUACCCCUCUAUUGUCCAAUGGACCAUCUUAAGCCUUAACCCCUUAGCCGUCAGUGCCAAGCUUACAUCUUGUGAUUGCAUGCCUCAUUAUAACAUAUAUAAUACGAAUCUGGCAAGGUCUAAAUCAAUAACCACCUAUCUAAUGUAUCAUAUGCAUAUAUAAGGUAAACUUUUAUGAUACACUUGGGAAUAAUAGAGCGAGCUCUAGCUUCCUGUAUGGUUUUCCAGUCAUAAUAAAAAGAAGUUAGUUUUAAACUAAUAAGCUUUUAAGAAUUAUCAACGGUUUAGUUAUUUUUUCAUCUUAAAUUGCUAUAACUCAUUACAAUGUUUAUUCAAGGUUUUCUUUUCAAAUAUAGUAGGUAAUUGAGAAAACAAACAUCUCUCAAAGUUUUAUUUAAAACUUCCUUAUUUAUUUUUAAAUUUCCGUCAAUUUUUCUCAACUUUUAACCCCGACAUUUCAGUCGAAAUUUCUAUUUUUCAGACGGUUGAUAUUUCCAUAAUCAUGGAAAUUUUAGUCGUUGCCCCCAAUUGACCGUAGAAUAGUACUUUGACCCGAAUAACCAAUCAAAGUACUUGUAUAGGGCUGGAUAGUCACUUUCUUUUUACUUUGUUACAUCUUUGCAAGUAAGUUUCCAUCUUUUACGUUUUGUAUUACCAAUUACGAUUUGAUUAUCUAUAACUAAGGUUAUAUCUUCCAUUUUUUCCUUUUUCUAACUUUGGAUGAAGAAAGUGAUUUGAAUGAACAUACAUAAAGGAUUAAUUGAAUUCUUAAAGUAGUUCAAAUGAUAGUGGUUGUGUCAUUGUAGUGAUUUACCAUAUUUCUAAGUUUUUUUUUUUUUUUUUGUUUUUGUUUUUUUUUCUAAAUAAGAGAGAAAAAUCUAUUAAAACUAGAAACACCAUGGGAAACCAAUGUUUACAGCAUGCAUUACCUUAUUUCUAAGUUGGAGUUUAGUUUUCCAUUUUCUUUUUCAAUUUAAUCCCAAAAUAAUUGAGUAAAUUGAGGAUCUUCGGACAAGGUUACUGUGUAUUGUUUUUAAAAUAAAAAAUUUCUUAAAUAUAUGUAUUGUUGUUAGUUUGUUACUGUAAACCAUUGUACAAGUAAAAUUGGGAGACAGUACUAUAUUAUUAUUAACUGAUCUCAAUGUGUCUGCAGGUUAUCUUUCCAGUCUUGAAAUACCUAUCCAUUGAACACCUGGGCGAGUUGAAAAAGAUAUGGAAUGGCCAACUUUCACCCACCUCCUUCUCUAAAUUAGAAGCUCUCACUGUCAAGCAUUGUGACAAACUACUGCAUUUGGUACCGACACAAAUGCAAAAUAGAUUGCAGACAUUGGUGUACAUACGAGUGGAGGAGUGUUCUUCACUGGAAGGGAUUUUUGAAGUGAGAAGAUUGACCGUCAAUGAAAGGAUUGCUUCAGUUUCUCGGACAGACAAAUUACCUUCAAAUAUUUCCCAACCUGAUCAAGGAAUGCAAAUAAAUGAUAUCAUGGGUUGCAGACAAUCUUGCCAAGGCUUUCAGAAUUUAACCAAACUGUAUAUUGCUUCUUGUGGUAGUUUG
rnacentral:lncRNA from 1 species